AUACGGAGGGUCCAAGCGUUAUCCGGAAUCAUUGGGUUUAAAGGGUCCGUAGGCGGGUAAUUAAGUCAGAGGUGAAAUCCCACAGCUCAACUGUGGAACUGCCUUUGAUACUGGUUAUCUUGAAUUAUAGUGAAGUAGAUAGAAUAUGUAGUGUAGCGGUGAAAUGCAUAGAUAUUACAUAGAAUACCGAUUGCGAAGGCAGUCUACUAACUAUAUAUUGACGCUGAUGGACGAAAGCGUGGGGAGCGAACAGGAUUAGAUACCCUAGUAGUCC
rnacentral:rRNA from 1 species